rnacentral:rRNA from 1 species
UACGAAGGGGGCUAGCGUUGCUCGGAAUCACUGGGCGUAAAGGGUGCGUAGGCGGGUCUUAAGUCAGGGGUGAAAUCCUGGAGCUCAAACUCCAGAACUGCCUUUGAUACUGAAGAUCUUGAGUUCGGGAGAGGUGAGUGGAACUGCGAGUGUAGAGGUGAAAUUCGUAGAUAUUCGCAAGAACACCAGUGGCGAAGGCGGCUCACUGGCCCGAUACUGGACGCUG